rnacentral:rRNA from 1 species
UGACCUCGGAUCAGGUAGGGAUACCCGCUGAACUUAAGCAUAUCAAUAAGCGGAGGAAAAGAAACCAACAGGGAUUGCCCUAGUAACGGCGAGUGAAGCGGCAACAGCUCAAAUUUGAAAUCUGGCUCUUUUAGAGUCCGAGUUGUAAUUUGCAGAGGGCGCUUUGGCUUUGGCAGCGGUCCAAGUUCCUUGGAACAGGACGUCACAGAGGGUGAGAAUCCCGUACGUGGUCGCUGGCUAUUGCCGUGUAAAGCCCCUUCGACGAGUCGAGUUGUUUGGGAAUGCAGCUCUAAAUGGGAGGUACAUUUCUUCUAAAGCUAAAUAUUGGCCAGAGACCGAUAGCGCACAAGUAGAGUGAUCGAAAGAUGAAAAGCACUUUGGAAAGAGAGUCAAACAGCACGUGAAAUUGUUG